CAAACACAAACCUGUUACAGAGCGGCACAAAAUCAAAUCUGCUGUGAUGGAUAUAUGAACCCCGACUGUUCUAUUCCAAUUUGUAGCCGCUCGUGUGGUAAAGAUCAAAUAUGUGGAAGUCCUGGACACUGUGUCUCAUUACGCGCAGGGCGAACAUACUGCUCAUAUAAUGGCUCCUGUGUCAACCCUAACAAUUGCUCCUGUAGUCAAG